GAUGAACGCUAGCGGCAGGCUUAACACAUGCAAGUCGAGGGGUAUAGUUCUUCGGAGCUAGAGACCGGCGCACGGGUGCGUAACGCGUAUGCAAUCUACCUUUUGCAGAGGGAUAGCCCAGAGAAAUUUGGAUUAAUACCUCAUGGUAUGUGAGAAUGGCAUCAUUUUCACAUUAAAGUCACAACGGCAAAAGAUGAGCAUGCGUCCCGUUAGCUAGUUGGUAAGGUAACGGCUUACCAAGGCAACGAUGGGUAGGGGUCCUGAGAGGGAGAUCCCCCACACUGGGACUGAGACACGGACCAGACUCCUACGGGAGGCAGCAGUGAGGAAUAUUGGACAAUGGGCGCAAGCCUGAUCCAGCCAUGCCGCGUGCAGGAUGACGGUCCUAUGGAUUGUAAACUGCUUUUGUACAGGAAGAAACACUGGUUCGUGAACCAGCUUGACGGUACUGUAAGAAUAAGGAUCGGCUAACUCCGUGCCAGCCGCCGCAGUAAAAC
rnacentral:rRNA from 1 species